UGGAUGAGAAUUUCAAUUUUCAUGUUCUGUGGUAAAGACAGUCUAGCACAGAGUGUGCUCUCUUUAGGUCUUCCCAGAGCUCAUCAUCUAGACUGGUUCUGUUGAUUCAGUGUGUCCUUAACAAAGUAGUGACUUACCUGGCAGACUGGGAAUAAAGGGCUGCUUUCUCCAUCUCUAAAUGGAGCUCAGCUCCCCGACGGCUUUUCUACUAAAUGGAGGAAAAAGUGCAGGAUCUGAACUGUUAUAAAUUCAAAAGUCUACUCAUGUUGUGUGACCAUUACAGGACAAAAUGAAAGAUAUACUGGAAUCAUUUUUAAACAGCAAAACACAAAGGGUGUCACAUCCACUUCUGCGAAGUCUCCAAUUCCAAUUUUCCCAGCCAACAAGCAUGCCACGUGACAUUCAAGAAAACAUCUAUCUCUAUAUUCAAUCUCCAAUCACCUUAAGUUUGGUACUCAUACCAGAGCUGUUAAACAGCUGCCAUCACCAAAGACUUACCAAAGGCACCUUCUGUUUGCGAUCAGCUAAUGUACAGUGCAGCAGCUUCCAAAUUCCUGGAGUCAUUAUGGAGGAAAUGGAGAGUCUGGAACAACUGCCUAAGCUCAGCAAGAUCUGGGCACUACCAUAUGCCUUCCACUUGUUAAUGGCCUUUACUGUGCUCCACUGGAUGCUUGGAUAUUUGCCUACCUUACAAGAUCUCCAAACCGGUUCACAUUUGUGUCUGUAUGUGAUCCAUUAGUUUUAAAAGGCCGCAGCACUGGAAAAAAGCUGCAUGCACAUGUUUUUGAAAUUACUGCCACAUAGAUAAUUCACCUAUAUAGUGAAAAACAAAAAAUGAUGUUUGCGAGGCAAUCUAUCAUGGCCAUAGUGAUAAAAUAAAGAAAAUUGGCAGUAUAAGGCUUUACCACAAAGGUUAUUUGAUCUGAGGGUCGGCUGAUUGUUCUCCUCCAUUUUUCUUUUAUGUUAUCCAUUGCCAACACUUGAAUGAUGAAUAAUGUGAUAUGUGCAUGCAUAGUGAGUGGAGAAUAAAAAAGACACAUGAGCUCCAGUGUAACUCUUCAUAUUUAUACUUGCAUAUCCACAGCAGGAGAAAAUACUGGAUUACAUGUACAUAUGUUGACUUUCAAUGAAUGAAGUCUGUAACACAGUAUCUGUAUAGUUUUACAAUAUUUCUGUACUAUUUCAACCAAUUCAAUCCAAUUUAAAAAUGGAUUGUUUUGUAUACAAAGGGUCAGGCUUAGUUAUAUAGCCUAUUCAUGGCAUGUGGUCUAUUAUUCCUCUAUUCAAAUGUGUAACUUUGGUUUGAGAAGAGUGUGGGGGGGCACAAAAUGAGGGAAAAUGUUUUUGAUUUGAAUCCUAUUUCCUGCAUUUACAUACAUUUAGGGACUAUGGUGAUACAAAAUCCAGGAAAUAAUUAAGUUAAUUAUAAUGAUAAAUUCUGCAAAAAAAAAAAAAAAAAAUA